UUUUACCCACACACACCGAUGUGUGUUAGCACUGUAUGUAGGCCUACUCGGUACUCGAUACUCAUAUUUAUUAGUCCAUCCUUCCACAUCUUAAAACGAAUUGGUGCCUUGCCAACUUCUCAUGAAAGCUGUGGGACAUCUUGAAGUUUGUCCCGUUGUUAUACAGAGAAUCUUACAUCAUCCAUUGAUUCCAAUAACAAGUCAAGGAAAUAGUUGACAUUCCUAGUUCAAUGAAGCAUAACCCUGUAUAGAAGAGGCGCUAGAAGAAUAUAUACCGCUAUACGCCAGAGGAUACACGUCGAUACCUUACAUUAGUAAAUCAGUACUAUCGAGAAACGAUGUAUAAAAAAGAGGAGCCGAUUGGGGUUUACACUGACUUGCCAUUCGACACAUUUUCAGCAUUAUUUCGACUGAAAGCUCCAGUCGAUCACAAACGCAACAACAAACGAGGCUGAUGUAAGAUUCAAAGAGCUUCGAGCGGGAGAGGCACAACAGCUUACAACAGCGAGAAAAUAGCACCGUUUUCAUUUCUGCGGACAGUUGGAAAUUCGGUUGGGAAAACUGAUACAAGCAAAUCUGGUCGGAUAACCAUCAUCCAACGUCUCGAGAGAGGAGAGAAAACAAGCAUUUCCUCAGAGGACAGACAAAGAGUUUUAGCAUCAGAGGAGGCAUCCAAGAAGGAAUUGGAGCUAAGAAAGACCGUAGAUGCCAAGAUGGCUACAAGACACUUUCUGCAAACUGUGAUCUUUUUCGAGAAUGGCUAAUAUUGACGUCCGGAAAACACUCUUCGUCCCAACCAUUCGGAGUAGGCUUGCUUAAACGUUUUUUUGAGCACCACGGAGUCGAUGCAGGGUCUCCGGAUCAUCGGAUGCGGUAUUACUUAAGCCACACACAGAAUGGCUAAUAUUGACGUCUGGAAAACACUCUUCGUGCCAACCAUUCGGAGUAGGCUUGCUUAAACGUCUUUUUGAGCACCACCGACUUGAUGCAGGGUCUCUGCAGGUUGAUCAUCGGAUGCGGUAUUACUCAAAACUUGCCCAAUUUUGCCGAAAAAGGCUCCCUCCCUUGUCGGCUUGCAUCGCUUAGAUCCAUACACAGACACAAAACAAAAACCAAUAACUUCUUUGGUCGUGUAAAAUAGCGCUUUCUUGUAUCUGUCUUUAGCUUUUUUAGAGAGCCACUUUGUACUUCGUGGCCCCCGGGGCUGGAUGAUACUAUUAAGAUGUUUACAUCCGUGGUGUUGUUUUUGUUAUAGAAUAUUUGACCAGUGUCGAAUUUUGGCAACGUGGUUCUUUGGGUACGUAGUUGGUGUCAUGGUGCGAAAAAAAGUUUUUGCAGGACGUGAAGUAAACAUUUUAGAAUAAGUAUUAUUUAUGCAAAUAUUUAGUCACGAGAAUUUGCAAUCUUUGGGGCACUUCUGCACAGAGUGAAUAAUUAUUUUUAAAACGUUUGUUUCACGUCCAAUUUUCUACAUGGUAACCAUGACUUCAACUACGUACCCAAAUUACCACCUUACCAAGUUUCCAUAUACGGUUAAAUAUUUCUCAACCAAAAAUACUGUAGACGUAAAGAUUAUGGUGAGUUACAUACAGCCCUGGGCUACGAGGGAAAGGGGCCAUGGUAGACCAAUUUUGCUAAUCAGUUGCACGGAAGAUGUAAUUUUGCUCAGACAUAAUAUAAUUGCAGGCGUUUGUGCCGACUGAAUUAUCCAUUCUUACAAAUGUCAUAUAAUAAGCUUGGGAUAUAAUAUAUGUAUGCCGAUGCAAUGCAGUUGACUUUUCUCUUGAAUAGAGAACUAAAAUAUUUACCUGUCUAUAUCGGAUCUAUGAAAUGCAGAUGACUAGUAUCUGUUCAAAAAUGAGUUUGCCUUCUCUAAUUUGCAAAUCUGAAAUAUAGAAAUGUACAAUAAAAAUAUUAGUUGUGAACGUUGCUUUGCAAAAGGUGUGUGUGUUAUUGAGAUACCGUCGAAAAUAUGGAGCGAUUAUGUCCAUGCACCCUAACGGUAAAGACAUUCACCUCUUUUCUGUUUGUAAUAAGUAUUAGAUUUGUCGAUUUUGAUAUUAAGAUAGCACUCACUGUUUGUAUUGAACAAGAUUUUUACUCAUUUCAAGGGUUUCUUGUUUAGUCGUUAGAAUAGCGUUUUUUAUCUGUCGUUAGCUUUUUUAGAGAGCCACUUUGUACUUCGUGGCCCCCGGGGCUGGAUGUAUGUUUACAUCCGCAGUAUGGUUUUGUUGUUAAAUAUUUGACCAGAAACGACAUUUGGCAAGGGGGUAUUUUGGGUACGUAGUUCUAGUCAUGGUGCGAAAAAAAAGAACUUUUCAAAAAUCUGACGUGAAGUAAACGUUAUUGAUUAAAAUUCGUUUUUAUGCAAAUCUUUAGUCUCGAGAAUUUGUUAAUUUGGGGGCGUUCUGCCUAAAGUGAGCGCACUUUGGUGCUUUGGGAGUCUUAUUAGUGAGUAAUUAUUUGUGUUACUUUCAUUUCACGUCCGAUUGUCUACUUUCCGGGGGGUAUAUGCUAAAAAAGACAAAUAGUGCCUUUAACAGCUUUAUGAAACUAGCCCAUGGAUGUAUGACUUCGUACGUCAUUUCAUAGCUGACCAAUCAUAACGCAGAAGAAAGUAAAAGCCCGUGAAGAUUCCAUUGAUCGCUACUGCUAUAAGAUCGCGGUGAUUAAGAAAAGCGCUUUUGUAAUCCAAUUUCUUUGUUAUUUUGGUGUGGGGCUUGCAUGCUCCUUGGCUAAAUUGAAUGUGAAUAGCCCAGUUGUGAAAGUAUUACAAUAGUUCUUCUCAAGUAAACACGUGAUUGAGUGGAAAUUUCUGCUCCGAAACCUACACACAGCACGGUUGAGUGAUUCGACGAUAUGCCGCGGUUGGGAGUGCUUGUUUGUGGACCUAUGUGCUGUGCUGUUUUGCUUCGCUGUGCUAUGUUUUGUGAGUACUGGUUUUUCUUCGAUACUUUCCAGGUUUCUUAAGGACUCCUAGCGGUAGGCAUGACAACACUUCACAUAACUACAGUGCGGACAUAGUUUACAUUGGCUUCCAGUAAAUCCAACUUAUAAAUCUUUGUGAGCUACUAUAUUGAGUAUGAAAUAAACCACAGGCGCCGCACUCUAAUACUACUUAUACUAAUUGUAUAAAUUAAACAAAUUUGUAUAGGAUAUAGUGCAAUAUAUAUCAUUUAUAUAAUUAUACUAUAU